CAACGUUAAAGCAUAAUGGCUUAGCUUUAAGCUAAGGACACGAAACGAUUUUUAGAGAUAGGAAUUUCUAAGAUAUUACAAGUUAUUUAGAUCUAUAAAUUCAGUCACAUAGUAUAAAAUUAGUCAGAAUAACAACCGCACUUUAGCAAACGAUGACAUCAUGCGUUGGCGAAUAUGUUAAUAUGCACGCGUCUAAUAAAUAACAGGGAGUAAUUAGCGGUAAAAGUAGACUUUUAAGUUGAAACGUUUGUUCGAAAAACAGAAUCAAAUGAGUGGUUACUUCGUAAAAAAACCUUUUCCUAUG